rnacentral:lncRNA from 1 species
UUUGGAAGCAGUCGUAAGAAAGCCACAUUGCUGGUGGCUAUAGUGGCUUCUAACUAAGGAAGGCGGUUUGGGGAAAGGGAGAAGGAGCGGGUGGGGAAGGCAGAAGAAGGAGGGUUUGGAGAGGCUCAGGUUGAAGCAUUUGUAAGCACUCAUGACGCGACACAGGUAUUCAUGGCAGUUUCAGACGUGGCCCCACCAACCUGCCUGCCCUUGUUUUCUAUUGAAGCCUCCUAGUCAUCUUUCAUAUCGCUUCAUCAAAAGCACAGUGAGGAAGCAAGGCCUGGCUGCCACAGUGAUGAAGAUGACAGCCUUCAUGACCGUCCAACCAGCUUGGUGGCACUUUUCUCUGGUUGUCCACUCCCUUAUUCUCAGCUCUUCUACUUUUUCUCUUAAGAUGGCGUGUCAAUGGGAUGUCAGCCUGUCCUGCUGGCCAUCAGACAGAACAGUCCGUACCUCGUAAUACAAGAAUGUUCUGCCCUGUUGUACACCCAUUAAACUUCUAAGCACAGAACAGCAUUACGGCUUCCAGCCCUGGGAGAAGAUAAACCACUGACUUCAUUGCCAUUUGUUUCAAAAUUGACUCAUGUUACAGCCAUGAAAACAUU